rnacentral:rRNA from 1 species
CCCUUAGAUGUUCUGGGCUGCACGCGCGCUACACUGAAGCUAUCAACACGUUUUCCCUCCCUGAGAAGGGCGGGUAACCUUUUGAAUCAGCUUCGUGGUAGGGAUCGGGGCUUGCAAUUGUUCCCCGUGAACCAGGAAUUCCUAGUAGACGCGAGUCAUAAGCUCGCAUCGAUUAAGUCCCUGCCCUUUGUACACACCGCCCGUCGCUCCUACCGAUUGAAUGCUCAGGUGAGCCAUUCGGACUUUCAUCAUGCUGGUUUCCAGUUUUGAUGAAGGAAAGUCUUGCGAACCUUAUCAUUUAGAGGAAGGAGAAGUCGUAACA